rfam:Jannaschia sp. CCS1, complete genome.
CGGGCUGUGGCGCAGCCUGGUAGCGCACCUGCUUCGGGAGCAGGGGGUCGGAGGUUCGAAUCCUCUCAGCCCGA